UCUUUAGGGUGGAAUCGUAGAAUGAAUGAAACAAAGAGAAUGACACUUAAGGUCCAAGCUUUGUGUUGCCAAAUCACUUGCUAGAAGACUACCUAACUGGUCCUGAAGAAAUACAUUUGAGGGUUGGAAAGAGCUUGUCCAAUGGAAUUGGGAGAGGCUGUGUUGGGAGAGACUGCUAGACCCAUGAAGAUGGAAGGUUCUGCUCUGCCAUCACCACCUACAUAAGAGCUAGCAGCAAUUCUCAGCGCCUGCAUCCUCAGCCAUCCACUUGACCAGUUUUCGUGACCUUGAAAUUAGCUUAGUAGCAAGUGUGAACCAACACUUAUGGCAGGUAAUAUUACACCACAAGAGGACACUGAAGUGGAGGGCCUGGACAGUCAGGGAAACAUUUCCAAGUCAUCUUGGGCCCUCAAGGACUUAGGACAGGCGCUUGAGUUUACACAGAGAAGGGAAGAUGCUACAGCCACAAGAAGGAUAGCGCAGGAUGAAAGAAUGGAGCCACGGGCAUUUCUCGCUUUCGUCUAGAGAAACCAGAGUGCCAGGCACAAAGUAGCAUCUCAAUACAGACGGAGUGGAACGACUCUUGGAGGAGGGACGUGGCCCCAAGUGUCCGCCGAGUUUAAAGACGCGUUGACGUUCACGUUCAUGGGUAAACUCCUGGGGUGCGCUAGGGGCCGGAGAGAGUAGUCCAGGUUCCCGCCCCGGGAGCUGAUGCCCCCAGGUCUGUGCCAGCCUUCGCCCACCGAAGGAAGCCCCUGGAAGUUGCGGAGCUCGCGGUCCAGGGCCCGAGGGCAAAGGGCUGAGGCGGUGCCUCCCGAGGGUCCGGCUGCCUUUUCUGCUCCUCCAGCGCGUCAUCCCAAUACCCCCAGGAGGACUCCUAGAGCGUCCAAACCGCCACAGGAAAAAUCCUAAACCUGCAGUCCAGGGAAACGCCUCUGCAUGCGCCCAGUCGCCCUAGAGAAGGCGAGGUGGGUUCUCGAGAAAGAAAAGGACUCGCGGCCCGAAGUCCAGGGCGCUUCUCCUGGGUUGAUCUUCCGCUCUGACCUUCGGUAAAUCCUAACACUUUCCUAGGAGCGGCCAGAAGAUAAUUUGCCACGUUUUUCAAGGGUUUCCAGGGAAGAGCUCUUAACCCUUUGUGGGGGACCUUCAGGCAAAGUUACAAACGAAAUGCAAAGUCAAUCUCAGAGCCCUUCUUGGUCAGACAAGUUCAAGGCAGUGUUAACAGAACCGAAUGACGGCUGUAACUGAUCACCUAAAGUAACUAAUGGUCUGCGAACAAAUUCUUCUACGUUUCAACUUUACUUUGCCACACACCAAUCCUCAGUGCAGCGAAAAUCUCGUGGUGUUUAUUUAAAUAUCGACUGAGUACUUAUAAAACUUAAACUUUCAAAUGUAAAAGUGAACUGCUUGGUAAGGACUCCUGGCUACAUCAACAAAGUAAUGUAAUGCCUGAUUAAUAGUGCUGAUUAAUGUUGGCUCCGGUUAAUGCUGGGCCCAUUACAAUAAUUAAAUAAUGCAGUCAUAUAUCAAAUAAGAGUCAAUGAAAAAUAAUUUAUUUAGGGUUCUGAGGCAUUCCUAUGGAACUUUCAAAGACCUAUAACGGACUGUAUGGGUCAUUUGUAACUGUAAUUGGUUGAUAGCUGUCCUCAGCAACAAAAACUCGAUUUAAAUAGAAGUCUUAGAUGGGGGAAACAGUUUAUUUUUGAGGCUCUGUAAUUGGUAAGGGGAGUAAUGAAAUGUUUGAAAAUGUGAAAAGUGCUUGGUCCUUAAAAUGAUAUACAGAAGGGCAGCUGAUGAUUGUUUCCACAUAAAGCCAUUGAUUUUUGAUUCUCAGUUCUUGUCAAGCGGUCAUUUUAGUCAGAAAGCUAAAAUUUUGAGGCAAGGUCCCCACUUUGAAGUAAAAGAGUUUUAGGAAAUGCAAAAGUCCAAAAAGUAUGGCUAUGUGAGUAUGAAUUCCACAAGCUAUUAGGAUUUUUCCACUAACCAAAAUAAAAAUGAGUUGGUGACAAAGAUAGGUGUACUUAAAAUGCCAUUGUAUUUGAAUUACUACCACUACCUUGUCAUCUGAAAAAGGAAAAUUGAGUUGAACAGAACUUGAAUCUUACUUUUUAAAAUUAUUUCAUUUCUUUUCACCAGUACCUACUGGAAAUAUUUAGUGGAUUUAAAACAAUUUUUAAAAGCUGAUGUGAAAGUUUCUAUCAUUGUAGUUUUAUUAUUAAG